GUGCUUGCUUUGGCAGCACACAUACUAAAAUUGGAACGAUACAGAGAUUAGCAUGGCUCCUGCGCAAGGAUGACACACAAAUUCAUGAAGCGUUCUACAUAAAA
rnacentral:snRNA from 1 species